rnacentral:rRNA from 1 species
UACGUAGGGUGCGAGCGUUGUCCGGAAUUAUUGGGCGUAAAGGGCUCGUAGGCGGUUUGUCGCGUCGGGAGUGAAAUCCACUGGCUUAACUGGUGGCUUGCUUUCGAUACGGGCAGACUGGAGGUAUGCAGGGGGAGAACGGAAUUCCUGGUGUAGCGGUGAAAUGCGCAGAUAUCAGGAGGAACACCGGUGGCGAAGGCGGUUCUCUGGACAUGUCCUGACGCUGAGGAGCGAAAGUGUGGGGAGCGAACAGG